rnacentral:lncRNA from 1 species
AAGAUUACUACUUCCCCUCUUCUGUUCCCUAUUUGUGUUCUGCUUUCAACUUGAACUCAUCAUAUGGAUUACAAAUGUAAAUUGUUUACUAUUUGAAUCAAGCUAAAAUAACUGCAAAGUGAAACACUUACUACAGUAAGGUAUACAAUUUCCAAAAUGUUUUGCAUUCUGGCCUUAGUUUUCAGAGACUUAUUUUCCGACAAUAUUCAUAACAGGGACGAUAAUUCGCCAACCAUUAAACAUGCCUUUUCAGGAUCAAUAAGCAGGUUCGAGAGCAAGCAUUUCCAAGCUCGUUUAAAGCUUUAGAAAUUAUAGGAAACCAUCGUUGCCUUCCUUGUGGAGACAGACAAUUUACUACAUCUAUGCCUUCUCCGGGAUUCGAAAGAGGACCUUCUGGUACUGCAGUCAGUGUCACUAACCACAUUCCUGUCGCUGCGGCAUAUACUCAGGAAAUAAAAGAAUCGAAUUUGAGAUGAAUUCUGUUUUUAAAGGUACUGAAUUCAAUUUGACAGAAUGCAAAUUAAAAGUAAUACAACAUAUAUGUGGAGAUAAAUCACUGAAAGUCAGCCAUGACUUUACUCGGAGUCAAACAUAGAAGUAUCGAAUUGCUUAAUCCAGAAGGAGAGGAAUACAUUGUUGUUAAUAAUAAUGAAAUGAUUGAAAAUGUAACCAAAAAAUACUACAUUGUAUUAUUGAUUAAGUUAUGCUAGAUAAAUAUGUUUUAGUUUUUAAAACGCAGAGAAAUAAUAUAAGUUUCAAAAGUUGACUGCAAUUUUGCGCGAAGCUGAAAUGUAGUACGAAAGAUUUUAAAUAAAAUUUGC